rnacentral:rRNA from 1 species
UGACCCCAUGCCGAACUCAGAAGUGAAACGCCGUGACGCCGAUGGUAGUGUGGGGUAUCCCCAUGUGAGAGUAGGUCACUGCCAAAU